rnacentral:rRNA from 1 species
CCUACGGGGGGCUGCAGUGAGGAAUAUUGGUCAAUGGGCGAGAGCCUGAACCAGCCAAGUCGCGUGAGGGAUGACGGUCCUAUGGAUUGUAAACCUCUUUUGUCGGGGAACAAAGGCGCCCACGAGUGGGCUGAUGAGUGUACCCGAAGAAAAAGCAUCGGCUAACUCCGUGCCAGCAGCCGCGGUAAUACGGAGGAUGCGAGCGUUAUCCGGAUUUAUUGGGUUUAAAGGGUGCGUAGGCGGACAGUCAAGUCAGCGGUAAAAAUGCGGUGCUCAACGCCGUACAGCCGUUGAAACUGGCAGUCUUGAGUGGGCGAGAAGUAUGCGGAAUGCGUGGUGUAGCGGUGAAAUGCAUAGAUAUCACGCAGAACUCCGAUUGCGAAGGCAGCAUACCGGCGCCCUACUGACGCUGAGGCACGAAAGCGUGGGUAU